rnacentral:rRNA from 1 species
GACGAACGCUGGCGGCGUGCUUAACACAUGCAAGUCGAACGGAAAGGCCCUGCUUUUGUGGGGUGCUCGAGUUGCGAACGGGUGAGUAACACGUGAGUAACCUGCCCUUGACUUUGGGAUAACUUCAGGAAACUGGGGCUAAUACCGGAUAGGAGCUCCUGCUGCAUGGUGGGGGUUGGAAAGUUUCGGCGGUUGGGGAUGGACUCGCGGCUUAUCAGCUUGUUGGUGGGGUAGUGGCUUACCAAGGCUUUGACCGGUAGCCGGCCUGAGAGGGUGACCGGCCACAUUGGGACUGAGAUACGGCCCAGACUCCUACGGGAGGCAGCAGUGGGGAAUAUUGCACAAUGGGCGGAAGCCUGAUGCAGCAACGCCGCGUGCGGGAUGACGGCCUUCGGGUUGUAAACCGCUUUCGCCUGUGACGAAGCGUGAGUGACGGUAAUGGGUAAAGAAGCACCGGCUAACUACGUG